rnacentral:lncRNA from 1 species
GUACAUGAUAUUUAUUCAUAGUAGAAACAUUUUUCAUGGCCAAAUAAUAAUGUUCCUUUAAUUUUGGGAUAGAAAGCAUACAAAUAAAAUCACAAAAGAAAAAAAGAAAAAGAAACGAACCUCAAUCAAAACUCUAUGGGUGUGUCCAUAGUCAAAAGAUCCCAAUGUUUUUCUACCGGAUCCUAAACAAUAAACAGCAGAAUAAAGUUAGUGAACAAAGAAAAAUUUCAACACAGAUUACUAAUCCAAAUUUUGUUGCCAAUUUCUAAUAAUAAAGUAAGAAUCCAAGGGGGAAAAAACAUGGAAAACAAAAAGAAGAAAGAAUGGAUAACCGUGACAUUGAGAGAAGGAAAUCAUUAGAAAAGCAGCUACGACAAGUGCAAGAGAAAUGAAACGCCCCAUCUUUGGUUUUUGCUUAAUUAAUUGAGGGGUUCUGAAAAUGGAAUUAUGGGGUUUUGUGUUUAGGGGGUGGGUGUUUUUGAAGAGGUGUAGUUCAAUUAGGAUCCUUUUUUGGUUGGGUCAGUGACGAAAACUACGUAGAUUUGUCACCCGUAGAGCUAUCAACAAACAAAAUAUGAA